UAUGAUUCCAGAGACUGAAGGCUUUUUCCAGGACUCGGACUGUGACGUGUGUUUGUGACAUCGACAUCAAACCACAAUCACGACUCUGAACCAGGAGGAAGUCAAAGCUGAAAUCAGUCCUGAAUCCGUCAGCGCUGCAGAGACGACGGCAUACAGGUGAGUAAAAGGAUACGCACCUUGGCGAGGAAGGUUCCGGUGAUGAAGAUCUCCAUGGCGGUGGUGAUGAGGAGCUGGAUGAUGAGCAGGACGAUGGCAGACGGACAUUCCUCCGUGAUGCAGCGGUAUCCGUAUCCGAUGGUGGUCUGAGUCUCCAGCGAGAAGAGAAAGGCUGCGCUCUUACCGAGCAGGUCUCCGUGCACCAGAGCCAGCAGGUACCACAGCAGUCCAAAGGCGAACCAGGUUCCCACAAACGUGGCGCUGAACAGAACCAGUUUGUACCUCCACUGCAUGUCCACAAAGGUGGUCCA